GCCGGGCGUGGUGGCUCAUGCCUGUAAUCCCAGCACUUUGGGAGGCCGAGGCGGGUGGAUCACCUGAGGUCAGGAGUUCGAGACCAGCCUGGCCAACAUGGUGAAACCCCGUCUUUA
rnacentral:SRP_RNA from 2 species